rnacentral:snoRNA from 1 species
AUGCAGGUAAAGUUACAAUAUAGCAAGUGUUUUAUUGUCCAUCCUCCUGCUUAAAGCAUGUGAUACUAUCUCUGCCUAGCUUUAUUCCAUAGUAAAAGAGAGACAGUUGGCCUCAAACAU